rnacentral:other from 1 species
GUGCGUCUGCGGCGUUCGUGAGUGGCUGGGUGGUACCCUUGAGCCUAAUCGUCAACCACGGGACCGGAGCACUUUCGGGUGGUUGAGCAUGUCCGCCCCCGUGCGGAAAGCCUGUAAACCCGAAGCCUCGUCCCACCUGAACCGCUGGUUCAAGGUCGAAGGCCACCACGGCGAACGCGGUGCACG